CCACUCUGUUCGUAACAGAUUGUAGUUGCCUCACAAGUCCUCAACUGGCAGCUUCAUUAAAUAGUACCCACAAAGCACCAUUCUCAUUGUCAACAGUGAAGAGGCGAUGCUGUUCCGUACUUUGUCAUGUUUUUGUACGUUUUACGUGGACCCCAGGAAUAGUAGCUGCUGCGUGUGCCGUAGCUAAUGGGGAUUCAUAAUAAACUAAUCUUUCCGCCCCGGGAGAUGUAAAACGAACGCUGCCAGCAUACGAUCUGUGACGUUGGUGGCGCCAGAAUGCUGUCUUUUGAAUUUAUACAGAAGUAGUUUUGACAGCUCAGGUUUGCUAGGACCUCGUUCACAAUUCGCAAUUAUAUGGAGAUAGAUCGAUGCAUACCAUUGUUAACAUUGCACUUGUGAAUAAGUGGCCGUAGUAUUAGCUAUUCAACUCUAUAAACGCGCACUUAAUUCAACACAAUGGUGAUAAUACGUAGAAUUUCGGACGCAGACCAAUCAACAAACCAAAAGUCUUCACAACCAGACGCCGAUUUUCAAUCCCCGCAGAAUUUACCGAGGAAGUCCGCACGCUUGACUAAGGGAUAUGUUGGUGAGAAGGAUCUGCAUAUUAUCUCCUUGGAAGAGCUAAAUGGACAAACACCAGAGAAUGGGAGACCUGUCAGAAAGAUAACAAGGAAAUCGCCCAGGUUUCAGGUCAAUGGGGCCAGUGAAGAUGACCAAACUGAGGUGUCCCCUAGACCAGGGGGAUCCCAGGGGGUUUUGAGACGCAGCACCAGAACCACCAGGGACCAACAGUCUAUGAUCUACGACUGCCUCAGCACUAAUCCUGCUGAGGCGGUCCUCCACAAGAUCGAUGACAUGAAGAUGUGCCACCACUUGGAAAACUCAAAACAAUCAUUGCAGAGGAUGUAUUCUAAAGCCCAGCGAAAGAAGACUACUGACUCUCCAACAGUAAAAACUGUUUCCAAACAAGAAACUGAAGAGUACUCUGAUGACGGUGGAGAGGAUGAGGACGACGACGAUGAUGAGGACGAUGAAAACGACGAUAACAGCAAGCGCUAUGAACCUCGACAGAAAAAAGCGGUGGUUCGCUACCAUGCGCCACUGGAUGAAUCCAGGAAACAGCCGCCCAUGUUUUUUGACCGUCAGGCAUCUUCCACUAGAGGGAGCUACCGCAUCAGUGCCUCAGUGCCCAGGAGUGCCCACACCACCAGCCGAAGGAGUGGCAGGACUGGGUCCAUAGGCAGGAGAAGGCAUGCUUGGCACACCCGGGAAGCCAGCUCCUCUGAUGAGGACGACUCCUCUGACGAGGAAGACGCAGAGCAAGAAGCCAAGAACAGGUGUCUGCCUCUGAAUUUGCGCAAGGAGGACAUUUUGGGAAUCCAUAAGGACAGAAUGAAGAUGGGUGCGAGUCUGGCGGAUGUCGACCCCAUGGCGAUUGACCAGUCGGUACGCUUUGACAGCGUUGGCGGUCUGACAAGCCACAUCUCCGCCCUGAAAGAGAUGGUAGUCUUCCCUCUGAUCUACCCAGAGGUGUUUGACAAAUUCAAGAUCCAGCCCCCUAGGGGCUGCCUGUUCUAUGGUCCCCCGGGUACGGGGAAGACCCUGGUAGCCAGAGCGCUGGCCAACGAGUGCAGCCAGGGGGACAGGAAGGUGGCCUUCUUCAUGAGGAAGGGGGCCGACUGCUUGAGCAAGUGGGUGGGCGAGUCGGAACGCCAGCUCAGGCUGCUCUUUGACCAGGCCUACCAGAUGCGGCCAGCCAUUAUCUUCUUUGAUGAAAUCGAUGGGCUGGCUCCGGUUCGCUCCAGUCGCCAAGACCAGAUACACAGUUCCAUCGUGUCCACCCUGCUGGCCCUGAUGGACGGCCUGGAUAGCCGAGGAGAGGUGGUGGUGAUUGGAGCCACCAACCGACUGGACUCCAUCGACCCCGCUCUUAGACGCCCCGGACGCUUCGACAGGGAGUUCCUCUUUGGCCUCCCUGAUCGCGAGUCCCGGAAAGAUAUCCUAAAGAUACACACCAGACAGUGGAAUCCUACACCGUCCGAUCCUUUCCUGGAAGAGUUGGCUGAUAAAUGUGUUGGCUACUGCGGCGCCGACAUCAAGGCGGUGUGCGCCGAGGCGGCCCUGUGCGCGCUGCGCCGGCGCUACCCCCAGAUCUACGGCACGUCCCAGAAGCUCCUGCUGGAUGUGGGCUCCAUCAACAUCAACAGCCGGGACUUUGUGGCCGCUGUGAGGAAAAUGGUGCCAGCCUCCCAGAGGGCCGUGUCGUCCCCUGCCAAGGCCCUGACCCCCGUGGUCACGCCCCUGCUGGGCCUCGAACUCGCCAACGUGCUGGACGCACUGCAGAAGGUCUUCCCCCACGCCGAGCAGGGCCUCAAGAGGAAGAGGGACACAGAUCUGACAGCCAGUAUUCUGGAGGAUGACCUCAUGUACAGUGGGGACGAGGGCCCCUCAUCCAAUAAUUCCAUCACCAAACAGACCACCACCAAAGGGAGCUUCCUCCAUUUUGCCAGGAGUGCGACCUGCCACCCCACCACCUACCGGCCCAGGCUGCUGCUGGCUGGGCGUCCCGGGGCGGGUCAGAGCUCCCACCUGGCCCCCGCCGUGCUCCACGCCCUGGAGAAGUUCACCGUCUACACCCUGGACAUGGCCGUGCUGUUUGGAGUCAGCUGCACCUCCCCCGAGGAGGCCUGUGCUCAGGUGUUCUGCGAGGCCAAGCGGACCUCCCCCAGCGUCCUGUACAUCCCCCACAUCCAGCAGUGGUGGGACACGGUGGGCCUGGCCCUCAAGGCCACAUUCCUCAGCCUGCUGCAGGACAUCCCCUCCUUCUCCCCCAUCAUGCUGCUGGCCACCAGCAACGUGGCUCACCACGACUUGGCCGACGAGAUCCAGACUCUGUUCCGGUUGGAGUAUGGAGAAGUGCACUCUAUCCAAAUUCCCACCCAGCAGGAGAGAAGGAAGUUCUUUGAGAAUCUCAUCCUUAGCCAGGCUGCCAGGGCACCCGCUUCCAAGAAGAAAGCCUUGAUGCAUGCCAUGGAGGUGCUCCCCCUUGCCCCUCCUCCUCCCCCCAGGCAGAUGAGUGAGAGGGAGUGUCUGCGUCUGGAGGAGCAGGAAGAGGACACACUCAGGGAGCUGAGGCUGUUCCUGCGCAACGUCACCGAGCGCCUCUCCCAGGACAAGCGCUUCAAGGCCUUCACUAAGCCUGUGGACAUUGAAGAGGUUCCUGACUAUAUUAAGGUGAUCAGGCAUCCCAUGGACCUCUCCACUGUACUGUCCAAGGUCGACCUCCACAAGUACGUGACCGUCAGGGAGUUUGUCAACGACGUGGACCUGAUCUGGAAGAACGCCCUGGAGUACAACCCUGACAGCGACCCAUCUGAUCGUCAGAUUCGUCACCGGGCUUGUGCCCUGAAGGACACGACCCACGCCAUCAUCCGUGACGAACUGGACGAGGACUUUAACAGGAUCUGUGAGCAGAUCAGAGAGUCACGCAACAAGAGAGGGUGCACGUCAUCAAAGUUCGCCCCCUCUUACUACCAGACCUUGCCCAGAGAGGAAGGGUUCGCAGAGUCCAAGAGGCCAGGCGGUAACGCUGGCAAAGACGCCAGCACCCCGUACACUGCCAACACUCCACGGCCCGCACCCCGUGAGAAGAAACGGCCCAAAACACGACCCAAAAGCAAAUAGAGCUCUGGCGUCAUAAAGAAGAAUUAAAAAGAAACCUACAUCUUCCUUUUCUUCCAACAAGGAGAUCACAAACUCUGGGGAGGAAGAGGGGGAUGAGAGGGAUCGCAUAGAGGGUGAAGAGAAACAAGCUAAGCCUUUGGAGACUACUCUAGAGAACGGCUGUGGAGACUCCCCUAUGGAGUGUACCUCAGAGAAGACCACUAAGCCUGCAGAGGAUGUGGAAGAGGCCUGUGUUACAGAGCAUCCCACCACCCCCAUCCCCAAUGGAGACUGGCAACAGCAAACUCAAGACCCCACAGAAGACUCACACAGGUCCAAUCUGAGUUCUAAGCUGGUGGCAGUCAAUGGAGACCACCAUCAGCCUGCCAGCCCUCCAGUGGAACACGACCCAAGUCCAGUUAACAACACCCCUACAAAGGAGGUAGACCAGGGGGAGAAACACCACGCAAAGAGCCUGACAUUUUGGAAGAGGACUGGGACAUAGGUCUGUAUUAGGGUCCAGGACACGGGCAGCGAGGCAAGCUACUGCUUCUGGCCGACGGGAACAGUUCAGUCAGUCUCGCUGACCUUUGGUCUCUGGGGCUCCUGCUCUUGCACCUCUAACUCAGCACAACGCAUCAGUUAAAGGGAUACAUCCACCUCUUGACUUAUUUAAAUACUUUGUAAAAAGAGGCGUGUGACCCGUGCCACCAGGACUCUGGUGCAGCAGCAACAGCAGUUGAUCGACGUGGACAAGGCCCUGGAGAUCCUGACCCAGAAGACCCCUCAGCUGGUUGUGCACCACGACAAACUCAAGGAAUUGCUCAAAAGAGCUGUGUCCAAGACUGAGGGUUAUGAGGUGCAUCAGCUGGAGAAGCUCUAUGCGUUGUUGUGUCAGAGCAUCUACAGACACCGCAAGAACUUUGAUAAGACGGAGCUCGU